CCUGGCUCAGGAUGAACGCUGGCGGCGUGCCUAACACAUGCAAGUCGAACGGAGAUUUAACGCUGAUGAGGCUUCGGCGGAAUCUUGUUAAUCUAGUGGCGGACGGGUGAGUAACGCGUGGGCAACCUGCCUCGUACUGGGGGAUAACAGUUGGAAACGACUGUUAAUACCGCAUAAGCGCACGGUGUCGCAUGACACAGUGUGAAAAAACUCCGGUGGUACGAGAUGGGCCCGCGUCAGAUUAGCUAGUUGGUGGGGUAACGGCUCACCAAGGCGACGAUCUGUAGCCGGACUGAGAGGUCGGACGGCCACAUUGGGACUGAGACACGGCCCAAACUCCUACGGGAGGCAGCAGUGGGGGAUAUUGCACAAUGGGCGAAAGCCUGAUGCAGCGACGCCGCGUGAAGUGAAGAAGUAUUUCGGUAUGUAAAGCUCUAUCAGCAGGGAAGAAAGGCUCGAAAGAGAGAUGACGGUACCUGACUAAGAAGCCCCGGCUAACUACGUGCCAGCCGCUGC
rnacentral:rRNA from 1 species